UAACCAAUAAUCACCGAUACGAUAUUCUGUCCGAUCGAUCCGAGAACUAACUAACGAAUGCUAAAGUGCUGUCUGAAUAAGACUAGGGAAAUUUUUUUAACGAAAUACUGGUACCGUACUUGUACCAUACCGAUGCCGUACCGUAUCGAUCAUAAACGGUACCGGUAACGGUAAUAGAUUUUUCGAAAUUCGGCAUCGGCAAAAAACGGUAUCGGUACCGGUAUUUUUCGGUAAAUACCGGUAUUAAUACCUAAUUUAAUAAUGACUUUAUGUAUUUUGCUAUUAUCUUAGAUCCCACUAUGAAGUUAUAUUUUCUUGAACAUUGUUUUACAAAAACCAAUAUCAAAUUUCUUUUGUUUGGUUAUUUUUAAUCAAUUAUGAUAAUUUUUUAGACAUGCUGGAAUUUGGAUGUUAAAAAGUGAACCCAUGGAUUUUAAAAGUUUAUCUUUUGAUUUUUUUUACUACUUAAUAUGUUUACCUUUUGUUUGUAUUCCACUAUAUAUUACUCUACUUCAGUUAAUAAUGGAUGGAUAGGUUGCACAUGAAUUUUUUUUUUUUUGUAAAACAAUGGAUGACACCAAAGCGGUACCAAGGUGGUAAAGUACCGAAAUACCAGUACCGAUACCAGUACCGAAUCUAUAAAUACGGUACGGUAAUCGGUAUCCACAUUUUCUCAAUUUCGGUAACGAUAUUUACGGUAUCGUACCGAUCUCAUCCCUAAAUAAGACUAUACUUUGUUGACUUACGUUAUGGUUCUGAUCUCGUGACCAUCGUUUGGUUUGAUCUGGUUUUACACUAAUACGUAUUCUACUCUAUUAAACUAUAUAUUUAACUAUCCAAAAGCUCAAAACUAUAACCUUACUAUCAAACAAGAUGUUUAAUCAUCAGAAGAUUCAGAACUACAAAAGUAGAUGCUUAGUGAUCAGAAGACUUAGAAUCAGAAGGCUUGUUUAAUCAAGACUAUAUGCUAACAAGGGAGACAAGAUCGAUCCAUUGCAACGUUGACGAACCUUGUUGAUCUCUCACCGGAAUAUAGGGACUCGACAGUUACAUUGUCUUAUUUCUUUUUGCAGUGCGUUCACGGCCAUUCCGUUUGCUCCAUAUGCUGUGAGAUGUGGGAAAAUAAGUGUCUCUUCUGCGAAUUCCCUAUCGGCCCCAACUUGCACCGCAACACAAUGGUUGAAAACAUGCUGGAAGAAUCUCCCAUUGAAUGUAUCAACAAAACAUAUGGGUGCCUUGACCGACCAUUUCGAAGUGAGCUUCGAGCGCACGUUAUGGAGUGUGAGUAUGAUUAUGCUAUUCGCGGUUGGAUGUACAUGUAGAGCUUCCGGUAGACAAAUUGAUUUUUGGGGACUCACACCUAUUAGUAAAGUGUGGGUUGUAAAGGUAAAAGGUGGAUGAUUUACACAUGGUUAUUGUUAUAGCGUAUGGAACUUUUAGACACAUUCUUUGGGUUAUAUAAAAACAGAAGCUGGUGUGCAUGUUUUUAUUUGCUUUAGUUAGUUAUAUUUUUGAGUUGAAGAUGAGAUUUCCCGCCUAGUUAUCAACAAUGAAGGUGCUUUUUAUUGAUUA